AUUGACAUGGACCACAUGAUUUCAAAAUUUCAACCAAAUCGGAGGGUUACACUCAACUGCCACUGCUGUUGUACGUUUGAGACAAAAAAUCAAUUGCAGAUAUUGAUGCGAUGGUGGGGCACAUGCCUACCCGUAUAUAAUUAGUUCAAAAAAAGAAGUCGGAGUCGCUAGAUUACAAUACCUACUGUGUAUUAUCAUCUCAAUCGAGGGCGCUCAGUGUAAUGCCUAUUCUCUCCAUCCUCUCCACCUUCCAUCUACAUCUUGUUCCAUGGGUUACACCAUCGCAUUACCAAGUGUAUUUUUAGAAAGAAAACGGUGAAGAAUGUUGGUCAGAGUCCUAAGGUAAGUUAAGGUGUAGUAUAGGGGGUCUAAAAUCGGAAAAUUUUGAAAAUCCGGUUUUUCGAUUAUUGUGGCGUCUGCUCUGAUUACACCACUGGGUCAGUCCCAAUCAGAUACCCUCUGACCAGCGUUACACCGAAUUUGACGUCGAGGAUGAUUACUACGACUAGGAGGUCAGCUGGUAAAUCCACUCAGAGUAGCAAAAUAAAUAUAACUGAAAACUUGUUAUAAAUCUCUUAAAUAAUUGCUACUUUAUUUACUGUGGAUUAAUUAAUUGUGAACAUUUUCUCAAAACACGUCCAAACUACUUGAGUACUUUUAACAAACUUAAAAACGAGGGCCAAGAAAACAAUGAGAUGACGAAAACUGCGCUCGUGCGAAACGUCAGGGACAACCUAAAACUAACAUUCAUACAUGUCAUCUCAUCAUAAAAUUUUACAUGAAAAAUUACAUUAAUAUUACUCGUGAGAUUCGACAAUUAUUCCAAUUACUUAAAAUUUCGUAAACCCGGUUUUCGAUUAAUCUAACUUUGGGAAACCUUACACAACCGGUUUUCGAUUAGUCCGAUUUUGGAAAAUAUUACGAAACCUGUUUUCGACUCUGGUUUUGUUGCAAAUUUUAAAAAGUUUGCAAAUAUAAAGACAAAAAUUGUAUACAAAA